rfam:Vigna angularis cultivar Jingnong 6 scaffold212_34, whole genome shotgun sequence.
GGGUAGAUAGCUCAGUGGAAAGCAUUUGACUGCAGAUCAAGAGGUCACCUGGUUGGGCCCUUAAUUGUGUUUUACUCC